CCUACGGGCGGCAGCAGUGAGGAAUAUUGGUCAAUGGACGAGAGUCUGAACCAGCCAAGUAGCGUGAAGGAUGACUGCCCUAUGGGUUGUAAACUUCUUUUAUAUGGGAAUAAAAUGUUCCACGUGUGGGUUUUUGCAUGUACCACAUGAAUAAGGACCGGCUAACUCCGUGCCAGCAGCCGCGGUAAUACGGAGGAUCCGGGCGUUAUCCGGAUUUAUUGGGUUUAAAGGGAGCGUAGGUGGAUUGUUAAGUUAGUUGUGAAAGUUUGCGGCUCAACCGUAAAAUUGCAGUUGAAACUGGCGGUCUUGAGUACAGUGAAGGUGGGCGGAAUUCGUGGUGUAGCGGUGAAAUGCUUAGAUAUCACGAAGAACUCCGAUUGCGAAGGCAGCUCGCUGGACUGCAACUGACACUGAGGCUCGAAAGUGUGGGUAUCGAACAGGAUUAGAUACCCCGGUAGUC
rnacentral:rRNA from 1 species